rnacentral:rRNA from 1 species
UGCGGCGUGCUUAACACAUGCAAGUCGAACGGAAAGGCCCUGCUUUUGUGGGGUGCUCGAGUGGCGAACGGGUGAGUAACACGUGAGUAACCUGCCCUUGACUUUGGGAUAACUUCAGGAAACUGGGGCUAAUACCGGAUAGGAGCUCCUGCUGCAUGGUGGGGGUUGGAAAGUUUCGGCGGUUGGGGAUGGACUCGCGGCUUAUCAGCUUGUUGGUGGGGUAGUGGCUUACCAAGGCUUUGACGGGUAGCCGGCCUGAGAGGGUGACCGGCCACAUUGGGACUGAGAUACGGCCCAGACUCCUACGGGAGGCAGCAGUGGGGAAUAUUGCACAAUGGGCGGAAGCCUGAUGCAGCAACGCCGCGUGCGGGAUGACGGCCUUCGGGUUGUAAACCGCUUUCGCCUGUGACGAAGCGUGAGUGACGGUAAUGGGUAAAGAAGCACCGGCUAACUACGUGCCAGCAGCCGCGGUGAUACGUAAGGUGCGAGCGUUGUCCGGAUUUAUUGGGCGUAAAGGGCUCGUAGGUGGUUGAUCGCGUCGGAAGUGUAAUCUUGGGGCUUAACCCUGAGCGUGCUUUCGAUACGGGUUGACUUGAGGAAGGUAGGGGAGAAUGGAAUUCCUGGUGGAGCGGUGGAAUGCGCAGAUAUCAGGAGGAACACCAGUGGCGAAGGCGGUUCUCUGGGCCUUUCCUGACGCUGAGGAGCGAAAGCGUGGGGAGCGAACAGGCUUAGAUACCCUGGUAGUCCCACGCUGUAAACGGUGGGUACUAGGUGUGGGGUCCAUUCCACGGGUUCCGUGCCGUAGCUAACGCUUUAAGUACCCCGCCUGGGGAGUACGGCCGCAAGGCUAAAACUCAAAGGAAUUGACGGGGCCCCGCACAAGCGGCGGAGCAUGCGGAUUAAUUCGAUGCAACGCGUAGAACCUUACCUGGGUUUGACAUGGAUCGGGAGUGCUCAGAGAUGGGUGUGCCUCUUUUGGGGUCGGUUCACAGGUGGUGCAUGCCUGUCGUCAGCUCGUGUCGUGAGAUGUUGGGUUAAGUCCCGCAACGAGCGCAACCCUUGUUCACUGUUGCCAGCACGUUAUGGUGGGGACUCAGUGGAGACCGCCGGGGUCAACUCGGAGGAAGGUGGGGAUGACGUCAAGUCCUCAUGCCCCUUAUGUCCAGGGCUUCACGCAUGCUACAAUGGCUGGUACAGAGAGUGGCGAGCCUGUGAGGGUGAGCGAAUCUCGGAAAGCCGGUCUCAGUUCGGAUUGGGGUCUGCAACUCGACCUCAUGAAGUCGGAGUCGCUAGUAAUCGCAGAUCAGCAACGCUGCGGUGAAUACGUUCCCGGGGCUUGUACACACCGCCCGUCAAGUCAUGAAAGUUGGUAACACCCGAAGCCGGUGGCCUAACCGUUGUGGGGGAGCCGUCGAAGGUGGGACUGGUGAUUAGG